UGGAUUUGCAGCGUGCUGGGCGGUAGGUUGAGGAGGUGUAGUUGGUAUCACAGUCGACCCACAAGAAAUUGCCUCCGAGAUCGACGACAAGUUUUACUGGAACUUGUGGGGUUCUUUGGUUGAUUUUAGUGAGGUAUUGGAGUGUGGAGGCAUCUUUUGUGACUGGCACAACAAGGGCUUUGGGCCUGAAAGAUGUUUUGGCCUGAGUAAGUAAUCCAGUAGUAGAGAAUAGGAAGAAGAGGGUAAAGAUGAAUAGAUUUUGAUAAUUGGAAUAUUUGUUAGCCAUGCCCAUGGCUGUGUGUGUGACUGUAUAUGGAAAUUAAUCUGAAGUUGGAAAUGAUAGUGAAGUGGCAGAGAGACCUAUAUUUAUAGGUGGAAUUAGAGUGCCAGUGUUGUUUGUUUAUUUGUAGGAAAAUGAAGUGGAGCGGUACCGCAAAGACAACUCACAUGUGAACCUCGUCAAGUAGCUCGAUGCAUGUUACUGGAUGUUGCUGGGAGUUGGGUUUAGCACCCCACCUAUUGGGCUUGGCACCCCACUUUAUCAAAUACGGAAUUUAAAGUUCCGUAUUCUUCAUAUUGAAUACGGAACGACGGUGAUAUUAAAAUAGAUACGGAAUUUUAUUUUCCGUAUUGAUACGAAACUUUAAAUUCCGUAUUUAAUAAAGUGGGGUGCAAAGCCUAAGGGGUGGGGCUCCAAACCCAAUUCCCGAUGUUGCUUCCUAGUUCUAUUAUUUAAUUGGUCAUGAUGACAUUAGUUUCUUGUUUUUGACUUAACAUUUACCUGUCAGCCGCGUCGUGCUUUUAUGUAGUAAACUUGAACUCCUAAUAAUAACGGGUUAUAUGACUCAUCAAAAAACUAUAGGUUAUAUAAUUUAUGGUGUGAACCAAUCACAUUUAAGAUAAGUAAAAUCUAAUAUUUAUAUAUUUUUUAUUAAUUUAUUUAUAAAUAAUCUUAUAAAUAUGGAGGGCUAACAACUCCCCAUAAUGUAAGAGAAUAAAAAACCACGAACACGAACCCAUAUGUUAUUCAGCUCUUACCACUUAAAAAAGCUAUCAUUCGAGACAUUUAAGUGAAUUUUGAAAAGAGAGUGUUAAUAACAUUUUUCUAUAUAUAUAAAAAAAAUACCAAGAAAAAUAAUAAGAUAAUGCUUCACAGCGGUUUAAGGAAAAUAUAUAUGUAUGAUGUGUUGGAAAAACUCAGACAAAGGAGAUUCUAAAGGUAAAAGCAAUCUUACUAUAUCUUCUUGAACAGCUUGAUCUAGCUGUCCUCUAUGAUUAAAAAUUUUCCUUUUCGAGCUUUGGAUUUAAACAACUUUGGUUUCAAAAGCAGUUCCUUUCCAUUGGCGUUUAUAAACUUGAUAUUCAUCAGCCUUCUUAUUUAUUCAUGUGAUUUCAUCCAUAAUAGUUCUUUCUAAUUGACUCUGCAGGUACAACCAAUCUAAAAGAGAUCCCUGGUGUUAUUGUUCUGUAUAUCACAAAGGAAAUAAUGAAAUCACGUGGUCAAAUUAUAAGGGUUAAUUGGACUAAUCUUACUGGAGAAUUUCCAACCAUACUAUAGAAUAAUACAUAAGACUAAAAUCAAUAUCAAGAUCCCAUGAGGAGGCACAUAUUAAAAUUGAAGUCUGAAUCUACUUGAAAAAAUAUACCAAAUUAAUAAACUUAAACUCUUAUUAAAGAAUCAUUCAAUUGAUGGGGCAGUCAGUCCCUGCCUCAUACUCAUUAAUAUUAAUUUGAAGCAUAACAAAGAGAUACUACAAGUUCAAUUAAUGAACAACUUGGGUGGUAAAACUGUGUCAAUAGCCCUAAUCAAAUGAUUUCUCGUGGGAACAGAACAGAAGAGAAAAAAAGUUAAAAUGAAAACUAAGGACAAUAGCCUUCUAUUUCACCACCAGAGUCCUAAGCAAAUGAUUUUCUAGUUUUAAAUGGAGAACCCCAUGAGUACCCAAGUCUUUUAGAGUACUAAUAAAGAAGUACCACAUUUGAAUAUUUGAUGCAUGACAACUAUAGAAUCACUUAAAGCUAUUAAAAACACAGACAUUGGAACUGACUUAUUUCUUUGGUCUUUUAGAGAAAUAUGUCUAAAUUAAAGAUCAAUUCUUUGCAAGCAAGAGAGCAUGAUUGGUUAUCAACUUUGCAAUGCAGUCUGAUUGACAGAAAAAAGUUCAAAACUUUUGCCAUCCCUUUUAAACAACUUUAUGAUGAAAAUAAUGUUUUUUUGAAAGCAGAAUUUGACAUUGAUGAAAUCAAAGCGGCUGUAUGGGAGUGUGAAGGUAAUAAAAGUCCGGGACCGGACGGAUAUAAUUUUAGUUUCAUCAAGGAAUUUUAGGAGGUUCUGAAGGAGGAUGUGAAGCGAAUGCUAGACGAUUUUAACCUACAUGAGAAAUGGCCUAGAGGAACUAAUAGAUCUUUUAUCACACUAAUUCCUAAAUGUGACUCUCCCCAAGGCUGAGUGACUUUAGGCCUAUUUCUUUGAUCGGUUGUGCCUAUAAGAUUGUAUCUAAAAUUCUUGUUGCUAGAAUGAAACAUGUGUUGCCUAAGGUGAUUGAUGAAAAUCAAUUUGCCUUUCUUGGUGGUAGGGGGAUGCUGGAUAGUGUGGUAAUUGCUAGUGAGGUGAUUCAUGAAGCAAAGAGUUCUAAUCUUCCUUCCAUUGUUUUUAAGGUAGAUUUUGAAAAAGCAUAUGACUCCAUUAGGUGGAAAUUCUUGUUCUAUAUGCUGAGAAGACUUAACUUGGGGGAAAAAUGAGUGAGAUGGAUUAUUGGCUGCCUGGAAUCAACUCAUGUAUCUGUACUUGUUAAUGGGAGUCCUACCAGUGAAUUUAGAAUGGAGAAGGGUAUCCGGAAAGGGGACCCCCUUGCUCCCUUUUUGUUCCUUGUUGUUGCAGAGGGUUUGAAUGGACUCCUUAAACAGGCUGUGGCAACUAAUAAUUUUCGACCGUUCAAGGUUGGGAAAGAUACAAGUGUUGAUGUGGCGCUUCUCCAGUUUGCUGAUGAUGCCCUUUUUGUUGGUGAGGCCUCAAUACAUAAUUUAUUAACUCUGAAGUGUAUUAUGCGCUGCUUUGAGUUGGUAUCUGCCAUGAAAGUGAACUUCCAUAAGAGUAAACUUGCAUGUAUCUCUAUUCCAACUUCAGUAACAAAUCGCUUUGCUGCACUUCUGAAUUGUAGAGUGAUGGAGGUUCCAUUUAUUUAUCUUGUUCUUCCCGUGGGAGCAAAUCCAAGAAGGCUAUCUACUUGGGAUCCAGUGGUGAGCAAGAUCAAAGGUAGGCUUUCUAGAUGGAAGAGUAAGACUAUUUCUUUGGGAGGGAGAAUCUGUCUUGUAAAUAGUGUGUUAUCUGCACUCCCCUUAUAUUAUAUCUCCUUCUUUAAAAUGCCCAAAGGGGUAAUUAAGAAGUGUCAACAAUUAAUGUUGAGAUUUCUUUGGGGUGGGUCUGAGGAGGAUAAGAAAAUUGUGUGGGUUGGAUGGGAUCGAAUUUGCAAACCAAAAUCUGAAGGAGGCCUUAGGGUGAGAGAUUUGGGGAGCUUUAACACUUCCCUCUUGGGAAAAUGGAGAUGGCGUCUCCUCCAUGAGAAGGAGAGGUUGAGGUGUCGGGUCCUUUUGGCGAAAUAUGGCGAUAACCUAUCUAAAAAGGGGGGUUCCGUUUGGGGGAAGGACCUUCUUUUGUCAUCUGUAGGGGCUGAAGCUGGUUUUUGGUUUGAGAAUGGGUUGUGCAGAAGGCUUGGGGAUGGGAAUGAUACAUUCUUUUGGUUUGAGGACUCGCAUGGGAAGGGUAAAUUCAUGGAAACAUUUCCAGGACUGUACCAUAUUUCAGAACAGAAAAAUAAAAAACUUGCGGAAAUGGGAUUCUGGACAGAUGCUAAGUGGACUUGGGAUCUUCACUGGUCUACUCUGGUGGAAGGGGAUAAUGUGCAGCAGCUUGGUUUCUUAGCACAAAUAAUUUCCUCUUUCACACUGUUAAGGGGUAAAAAAGAUUCAUGGGUUUGGAUCAAGGAAGGUGAUGGGCGAUUCUCAGUCAAAUCUGCUUAUGAGACUAUUGCGGGGUCUAAUCCGGAGAUGGAUAGUUAUAUAUUUCAAUCGCUGUGGAGAGCUUGGGCACCUUCUAACGCUGCUGCAUUGGGUUGGAGAGUCCUUAUUAAUCGCAUUCAGACAAAAGAAAACCUAAUUCGUCGUAAUAUCCCAAUUACGAACUCUUCUUGUCCAUGGUGUGGUUUGGUUGAAGAGACCACCUUCCAUUUGUUGUUUCAAUGUUCAUUUGCCUGGAAAGUUUGGUCCCUGGUCAUGAAGUGGAUUGGGAUUUGCUUGGUGCUGCCUGGAGAUACCUUGUGUCACUUUAAUCAAUUUGUAUCUUGCUGGACCCUGGCUAAAAAGAAGGGCAUGGCUGAGGUGGUGUGGCAUUUGAGGAUUGGGAGAAAUGCAGUGGUUUUUAGGGGAGAAAACUUGGAGGCUGAGAAUAUUUUUGAAGCUGCAAAAUCAAAAGCAUGGAAUUGGCUAAGAGCUCGUAGCAGGAACUUUCAUCAUUCUAUUUUUGAGUGGUUUAAUGAACCACUGGUUUGCUUGUGUGAUAUCUGAUGAGAUUUGUGUUGAAGUGCUAAAUUGUUAGGCUGGCUCAUUUCUAUUCUGUUUUGUCAAAGGGGAGGAAGGCUCAUAAAAUACAGCCUGCUUGUGUGUCCUUUUUUUCAAAUCAGUAAUGCAAUACAAUUGAAUUCUGCAUGUUGAAGUUCAUUUAAAGGGCAUUGCUAGGUGGAACAUCAAUUCUGAUGGAGCUUGCAGGUGGAGGUCAUUUCAUUUUGGAAAAUUGGCUCUCUAUGGCAAUAUAGAAUGGUAAUAUAGAUUGGCUGCUGUGUAGAUUGGUUCUUGGGCUUGGUGGUUUUCUGAGUUUGGGGUUAAUUUGAUUCUUUGUAAUUAUCCUUGGAAAAUUCCUCUUGGCUUUAUAAAUUGGUAUUCUUUUUCCUUUCUAAGUUUUCCCAAGGGAGUUUUCUCCUAUUAAGGUUUUAAUGAGGCCUUUUCUAUAUUGUCUUUUUCUAAGGGGGUAUUGGGUAGGUUAGUUUUGGCAGUAGUAGGUUUGCUUUGUAUUGACUUCUUUUCAAUCUUUUUUCCUCCAUCAUCUCUUACUUGUAUUGUGAUUGAAGUACCCCUUGUACUUCUUUUCAAUAUAAUUCAUAUUGCUUAUAAAAAAAACAACUUUUGCUGACAUUCUAGAAUAUUCUCUUGUUUGUGAAGCACAUUUAGAUUUCUGCCACUUCACUGACUACCCUUAGUUUAAGGGAUCUAGCCAACUAGAAUAAAUUCUAACAGAUCAUGAUGAAGAAAUUCAGAGAAAAUUGAGUUGGUGCCUGGGGGGUGUGAAGACAGGAGCCUCACAUUUAAACUCAAAUUAGUCCCUUGCAAAGUCUCACCAGGACUUGAUGAGACAUGUGCAUGAUCUUGUUGUGGUUAACACUGUUAAAAGUUCAAUAGGGAUUUGUGGUGCUUGGGUUUUGUGGACGGUGGAAUCGACAAGAAAACGACGAUCACAAUUGGAGGGAAGCAGCUUGAAGAUAAUGUAGUUGUUUGGAGUCACAAUUUCCCUCUUAUCUCACUCGCUCUCUUGUCCUGAUGUCCAUGCCCACUGUUUUCCUCCUCGUCACAAGAAAUAGAAUCAGGAAUGAGAAACUGAAAAAUCAAUGACACCCGCUGAGGUGUGAGAACUGUACAUGUGUAAUUAGUUCACUCUUAGAAAAAAAUAUCGUUUGGUUUUAAGAAUUCCAUCAAUUCUAUAGAGCAGUUGAAGUAGUAUAUGAUUGAUCUCUCUUUUCUUUUUCAGAAUGUGGACAUUCCAAAUGUGAAAUCUAAUUGAUGUUUUUGUAAAAUUUAUAUAUGCUGUCAUCGUAUAGUUAAAAAGUAUUAAUUUAUAUAUAUCAUGAUAAGAUUGAGACUUGAGAGCAGAAUUCUGGUAUCCAAAACCAAUUUCCACUACAGAGCAACAACGAGCAUACAAUGACGAUGCUUCAGGAGCCUCCCGAACCAGAUGGCGAACCAAUAUGAGACACAAGAGAGGGGACCCAGCUCGCAAAUGCCAAAUUCUGAGAGCUUCAGGACAACCUCUGAAAAUAUGAUCAAUGUCUUCUUGGUCAGAAUUACAGCGAGUGCAAGAAGCACUCAAUGCCAAGUGACAAUGAUGUCUCAUUGCAUUCAUAGGAAAGCUUCCAGUACCAAGUAACAAAAGAAAAAAUCUAAUCUUCUCCAGAACCUUACAUUUCCAAAUCAUCUGCCAACUGCCUAAAUUAUAUCGACCAGGCCAAGAAAUGAUAAGCUGAGGAUGUCGUGUAUUAUGGGAUGGUUGCCAGCAAAUAACAUCACGUUACAAAGUACUCAUAGGUAGCUGAAGCAUUGUUAUUUCAGGGAAAAUAUCUUGAGGCAGAAUGGUACAACAAAACAUGUUAUUUUCCUUCCUGAUUUCCCUUCGUUUGAUCCUUCCUCUACUUUUCGUUUUGGCUUGUCUCGGAAUCUUGGCGUCGAUCUUCGUUUCUCCUUCUUUGUAGCAGCGGUCAUCUGCGCCAUCCUCUUUCCAUGUCCACCAUAUUUCAACCUUCUUUCGGGUCGGUGCUCUAAGAUUUGAGGUUGUUUCACCGUUGAAGUGAGUUGUGGCAGGGAGUGAGAUGCUGGGAUUUGACCAGGCCUCCUCGCCAACAAGUCUCGCCACUUGGGAUUCAGGGCCAAGCAAGUUUUGUGGUAAACCAUGUUCGUGCUCGAAGGGGUGGAAGGAAGAGGUCAGUUCCCUGAGGUAAUGGUUAUGGUUUACAAACCAAGGAGUUACACAAUUGAAAUUUCAGCGUGGCUUGAAGGGGGGUCUCAAGGCUUAUGAGAUCAUUUUGCAGGAUGCACACGGCUAUAAGAAAUGAUCUAAGGACCAAUUGGUUGUGCAAUCCAAUUCUUAAGCAUAAGGAGUUGACCGAGAAGACUUCUUCUUGGAAACUAAGCAAGGGUUUGGUAAGAAAAGGACAUAGCACGUCCAUCCCGCAGGGCAACCUGGAAGAAACACAAUGUUGUUCGUCUUUGUAGCUACUGUUGAUUAUACUUUUGCUAUCGUGUGGGGCUUCUUUUCUCGAGUUGGUUUGGUGUUAGGUGGGUUUUGGAGUUUUCGAGCUUUUGCUCUAAGGUGUUUGGUAGGGGUGGUUUUCGGGUACGCUGGUUGUGGUUGGGCUCGUGUCGGUGGAAGCUGGUGGGGUGUGGGGUGGUGUGGUGUGGCCGGUUGGAUCUUGUGUAGUUGUUGGUUGUCGGUCCUAGUUAUGUGUAGUUCAUUGUUUUUACGAUCACCCUCCGGCUUCGACGUCUUGGUUUCUAUACGGUUUUGGAUGGGUGAUCGUCUGUUGUGCUGCUGCUACGGGUCUGGAGGCUAUUUUUGGAGCCUAUGCAAGCAUUGUUAUCUUUUAUGUUUGUUUCUUAUCUUGGUUUUUAGGUAUCAUCUCUAUAGCGUUUUUUGGUUUUACCUGUUGGGGUUUUUGGUCUGCUCUUUUAGUUUGAUCUAUAUUGCAGGUAUCGAGCGACUUGUUUUCCUUCAUUUGUAUUUGUCGCUGCUUUUCGAAUUUCAUGGAGAUCUUUCUAGAGGAGCAAUGUGUGGGCGUUUUACUAGGCUUUUAGCAUGCUCUUGUGCGUGUGGGUUUUUUUCAAUUUGAGCUGAGUUUUGAUGACUAGGUUAUUGUACCCUUGUUGACAUGAGUUGUUUCUCAACAUUUCUUUUAUAUUUAUAUAUCUGUUUCUAUAUAAAUGUCCACUUAGAGUUUCAAGAGAGCAUUAAUUGAUGUUUUUCCAAGAAAUAGCCUUACAGAAACAAUAAAUGAAGAAAGACAAAAUACAUUCUAAAUGGUGAUGAAAUAGGAAAACAAAUAAUACCUUUACGAAAAUUAACACAAUUGAUUGCUUUCCUUAAUUUUUGUGAACCUUCUCUUCCUGAACAGAUACAUAGAAACUGGGGUAGUAGCAAUUAAUGUUCUUGUUUUAUUAAAAUUACUAUCUGACUUCCUAUAAUGCCCUUUAUCUCUCUUAUUAUUUCUAAUAUCUCAAUUUUCCUCCCACCAAUAAAUGAAGGGUACAGUUGAUAAAAUAUAAUUAAUGCUCUUUUGAAAUUAUAAAAGUAUCAGAUAAAUAGAAACAAAAAAGAAAUCAAAAUAGUAUCAGUUGAUAGUGUGUUUUUUUACUUUAAAAAAAUAAGAAUAUCAAUAAUAAUAACGGGUUGGCUAAAUGACUAGUGAAAAUUAGUUAACCACACCUUAAUGGACGAAUAAACUUAAUAAAAUACGUCUAACAUUAAAAUUGGCUAACACACCGAAAAUCUAGCUAUGUUUAGGACAAAUUAUUCAAAAUUACAUUAAUUGUCAAGCCUCCAGACAUGAAUUUAAUUACAAUUUAUCAUCACUGAGAAUCAAAUCACACUAAUUAAUUAAUCAAAGUGCAUACAUGAAUUUAAUACCCAUUUAUUAUUUAUUAUUAACGAAAAUAAAAUCAAUGGUAGUAUUACAACACAAAUUAAUUAUUCAAAGUGCAUCCAUAAAUGGAUAGUAGAUUAACCACGCCAAGCAAUCUUGGCAAAGGCACGAUUAUGCGGUGGAGGUGAAGUUGAAGUUGGCACACGUGGUUUGCCUUCCGUAGAGCAAAGAACUGAACCCCAAUCUGGACGAAGCCAAAUCAAACUGCACCAGAUUAUUCUCCAGCUGAUACCCACCAAUCACAAUCGAAGUCCUCGCAUUCUUCCCACCGUUCACAAACCCAAGACACAAAACACUACCAUCAUUAUGCACAUCUACCACCGAGUUCGCUCCAAAAACAUACCACGUCACACCAUUCUGCAUCACAAACUCCACCGUAGGCACCGCCGCACCCAACCGCGUACUCCCCACGCCCCUACCGCUGACGCAAUCGCCUUGAAAAGAGAGUCCUCGAGAACCGUGUAAGGGUCCACCGUGCUUACCUUGGUCCCACCAAGGCCGUUACUAUUGAUGUCUAACAAACUCGAGUUAACGGUAACCGGUUUUUCGUCAAUCACUAUUGAUUUCACGCCGAUGAAAUACUCGGCGGAGGGCUCGCCUUGUGAGAACGCGGAGGAGGUGCUCACCGGGUUGGAGGCGUCGACGUUGGGGAGGAGAACGUAAGGUCCGUCUCCGAAGAUAACAACGCCGGUUGAAGAAGAUAAGCAGAUCGCGAAUUUCCGGUGGAAGCUGAAUGCGGAGGAGAAUUGCGACGGCAGCGCGAUUUUCGUCCGGCCGAGGCCGGCCAUGCCAGAAACACCUUUUUUGAGUCCUUUUAGUAAAGCGAUUCGGCCGGGUGUGAGGCCGUUGGUGGACUGGAUUGAGAGAGUGUCUUGGGCGAGCUCGCCGCUGGUAGCGGUUCCGGUGAUGGUGUCGUCCGGGAUGAGGCCACAAGUGUUGUUGUGGCAGCCGGGCUUGGGGGAUGAAAAGCAAUCGCCGCAGCUGCUGGAUCCGGCCAGGGAGCACUGGGCGGAUUUGCAGCGUGCUGGGCGGUAGGUUGAGGAGGUGUAGUUGGUUUCACAGUCGACCCACAAGAAGUUGCCGCCGAGAUCGACGACAAGUUUUACUGGGACUUGGGGUGUUCUUUGGUUGAUUUGGGUGAGGUAUUGGAGAGUGGAGGCAUCUUUUGUGACUGGGAUAACAAGGGCUUUGGGCCUGAAAGAUGUUUGGGCCAGAGAAGGUGCAGUGAUAGAGAAUAGGAGGAGGAGAGUGAUGAAGAGAUUUUGAUAAAUUGAGCUAUUAGCCAUGGUUGUGAGGUAGGUAGAUUGUGAUAUGGAAAUGAGAAAUGGAGGCAUUAUGCAUCUCUA
rnacentral:lncRNA from 1 species